AGAAAUAAAGGACAUUGCAAGACAACAUGGAAUUGAAGUUGAGAAUUACAAAUCCAGGGGUAAAAGCACAAGCAGAAAGUAACCGUUCAUCUACACGGCAGUCAAGGAAAAAGUUUUUUUGUCAGCUGCAAAAUUUUUAUUUCAUUUUUUUAAAUGUCAGCUGUAUAAAUAUUUGGUAUGCUAAACAAUAUUUGGAAAGGAUCAUAUAUCUUAUUCAUGUA